UACGUAGGGUGCGAGCGUUGUCCGGAAUUAUUGGGCGUAAAGAGCUUGUAGGCGGUUUGUCGCGUCUGCUGUGAAAUCUCAAGGCUCAACCUUGAGCUUGCAGUGGGUACGGGCAGACUAGAGUGUGGUAGGGGAGACUGGAAUUCCUGGUGUAGCGGUGAAAUGCGCAGAUAUCAGGAGGAACACCUAUUGCGAAGGCAGCUCGCUGGGACGUAACUGACGCUGAGACGCGAAAGCGUGGGGAGCAAACAGG
rnacentral:rRNA from 1 species